rnacentral:tRNA from 1 species
AAAGAUGUGAAUAGUGGUUUCAAGUGGUAGACUGUAAAUCUGUUAGUUUAUCUUACAGAGGUUCGAAUCCUAUUUUUUUUA